UAAAGGACCAACUGGUCCUGGAUCUUUUCCUCAUUCUGCUGUGAACCUGUUAGUAGGCUACGAAGCAGUUGGAUUCAGAGUUUGUUCUGAGAGCUUUCGUUUUUUAGUAUUAUCUUUGGAAUUGAACAUCUGUGAUCUGCACUGACCUGAACAUCAAGGCAGCUGGAGUCUGAGAUCUGCUUUGAAGUAAAUGAAGAAUGCUUUCACCAGGAACUGCACAGAAGGAAAGAUUUCAGAACCCCUGUAGAACCACAGCAACAAAACCAUUUCUCAGUAGAGACCAGAGCCACUGACAGCAUCAGAAUGACAACUACUUCCAUGGCCAGUAUGUUUAAAGGAAACUUGAGGUCUUGUUAACACAAUUUGAACUUUUUUUUACUUAUUUAGGCCAGGGUCUUGGCCAAACACCAUAAUAUUGAGCAAUACCCCCCAACCCCCAAGCCCACAAACUGGAAUUUGUUUUGGAAAUAAAGUCUCCUGGACUCCA